GACAGAGGGUGCAAACGUUGCUCGGAAUCACUGGGCGUAAAGGGCGUGUAGGCGGGAAGGAAAGUCAGAUGUGGAAAUCCCCAGGCUCAACCUGGGAACUGCAUUUGAAACUCCCUUUCUUGAGUACCGGAGAGGAAAGUGGAAUUCCUGGUGUAGAGGUGAAAUUCGUAGAUAUCAGGAGGAACACCAGUGGCGAAGGCGGCUUUCUGGACGGUAACUGACGCUGAGAACGCGAAAGCGUGGGGAGCAAACAGG
rnacentral:rRNA from 1 species